UUCUCCGGUACAGCUGGGUCCAUAAUUUUUUGGACAAAAGCUGAAGUUUUGCACCUUCAAUCAAGAUGUGAUUAAAGGGCAGACUGAGUUUUAAUUUAAAGGGUUUUACAAAUAUUUUUGCAUUUACUGUUACUGUUACUGUCCCCCCUUUCAUGGGCUCAAAAUGAACUGGACAACAAACUGAACAAUGUUUUAAUAUUUUAAAAUCAUGCUGGUUUUUAAACUCAUGGUCGAAACUCUGCAUUUCCUUCCCUCCCUCGAGGUGCUCUAAGUCGUUACUACAGCCACGUUCAGUUGCUGUUGGUUUUUUAAAAUUCUUUCUUCAUAGAGUUUUGUAUUUAAUAACUGAGAAGCACUCUCUGUUGGGCUUUCUUUGCCUUGAGAAACUCUUGGGUUGCUUUUGCUAUACGUUUUGGAUCAUUAUUCAUUUGCAGGUUUUGUCCUGUCAGUUUUUGAGUAUUUGUCUCAGUCUGAACGUCAGGUCGAGCAGAGAGCAGCUGUAUAUGCUUAUAAUACUGCCUUCACCAUGUUUAAUAGAUAAUGGUGGCAUGCUUUGGAUCAUAAGCAGUUCCUUAGUUUCCGUAGUUCCGUAGUUUUCCAUCAUUCUAGUACAAGUUAAUCUUAGUUUCAUCUGUUCAAAGGUUAUUUUUAUUAAAUUUUUAAUUUAAUUAAACUGUGCAGACUCCUGUAGAUGUUUUCCAAUCUGAUCUCAGCGGGCCUUGUUUAUUCAGAAGUUCACAUGAUGUUUCUUUGCUUUUUGAAUUUUCAUUUCCAUGAUGGCAUCUCUUGGUAGUAGACCUUGACAAUGAUACACCUCCCUCCUCCAGACUGUUCUUGACUUGGUAAGAUGCUGUAAAAAAAGUUCCUUCUUAACUUUUGAAAUAUUUCUGCUAUCAUGCACUUUAAUUCUCUUCUGCUGUUUUUCAGGCCCUUUGGUGUUGCUCAGCUGGCCAGAGCUGGCCUGAGGAGAUUCGGAGGAGAGGCAAAGCAUGUGGGUUGAGUUGCAAGAAUGCUUUCUGAAGCCCAGUGUCUGUGCAACUGCAUCAGAUCCGAGAUCAUAAGUGACACCACGAUGUAGCGGUUAACACAAUGAUGUUCCCAUUUCAAGAUUGGGAAGAAAUACAAACCCAGCCUCAGGGAGUCACAAGCUACUGUACUCCAGUGCUGGUCCCAAACCUGGAUAAAUGGCAGAGUUGCAUCAGGAAGGGCAUCCCUCAUCAAGUCUCUGCCAAUCAAACAUGCAGUUCCAUCUUCUGUGGCAAUCCCUUGGGAAAUAAAC
ensembl:lncRNA